CACGUAGGGUGCGAGCGUUGUCCGGAAUUAUUGGGCGUAAAGAGCUCGUAGGCGGUGUGUCGCGUCGGCCGUGAAAACCUGCAGCUCAACUGUGGGCUUGCGGUCGAUACGGGCAUCACUGGAGUUCGGCAGGGGAGACUGGAAUUCCGGGUGUAGCGGUGGAAUGCGUAGAGAUCCGGAAGAACACCGGUGGCGAAGGCGGUUAGCUGGGCAGUUGCUGGACACUGAGGCGCGACAGCGUGGGAGCA
rnacentral:rRNA from 1 species